GUAACUCCUGCUGCUGUGCUUUUCUUUGAUGUACAACUACAUUUUUGGUUUGCGGUAGCCUUUUGACGACUCUGCAACUCCUUCCGCCUUCACUAUGGACGCGUCACUCUCCAGCUUGCGUUCAUCCUGAUGGAAUUAACAGGCUGUCCCUCAGUUCCUGCAGCUGUCGGCCUUGGUCGGCAACGAGCGUUUUAAGAGAGUCCACCUUUGCCUUCAAACCAGCCAAGUCUCCUGGUGUCCUGCUGUAAACUGGAUAUGUGCUCGAUGGUGAAGUUUUCUAGGGACUUGAGUUUGUCUUGAACCGAUUCCUCCGAGGACAGGUCCAGCUCUUCGUCAGAGUCCAUCUUGUCAUGGAAAAAACGCAACACAGACCGUUUUAAUUGAGAGAAGUUUUGAUGCCGUUUCUGACCAGAGAGACAAGCAAGAAAGAGAGCAUAGCCAAGCUAUCUAGCAUAGCCAUAGCCAAUCUGAUACAGCUGAUGCAAAUAAUCAAAGUGUCACACAUUUUCAAUUAUUUGGAUCAGCAGUGUUUUAAUUGAGGUUGGAGGAAAAGUCUAAUUGACUUGAGUCAUAAUAAAAUAAUAAUAAUAAUAAUAAUAUUUUUUUUUACUUGCAUGGGCUUGUGGCCUUUCAUUCAGCUGCUCCCUGGUACUUGUGUAUUUGUGGGCCAAAAUAGCUGCAGGAGGUCGUCCAGGCCUUCUUCACUCUCUCUCUCUCUUUUGGCAUCUGGCAUAGACAAAGCAGGUGCCUGCGAGGCCAUGUCGUCACUGUCGUUGUCGCUGUCAUCGUUGGCGCUUUCAUCGUCGGUGCUGUCGUUGGGUCUGUCCUUGUCGGUUGCCUCUGUCGCUAGCUUGCCCUUAAGUUCCUCCAUUUGCCUGCCCUGGUCUGGGAUGGUGGAUUUGAGGGCAGACAGCUCACUCUGCACAGCGGGUAGAUCUCUUUCUGUCAAGGUCUCCGUUGCUUCUCUGAAGGUUCUAUGCGAUUUCCCGUAACUCGUCUACUUGGCACACUAAAAAUGUUUCAAUUCGAUUCAUGCUGAUGUUGAACUCUUGCGUGGCAACAAGGUCAAGGUCACUUCCACUUGAGCAGCUCAUCUUGUUUGGGGUCAUGCGAAACACAGAAGAGGUGAGAAUUAAGUUGUUGCAUUAAAAAAACAUACGUGUGUGUGUGUGUGUGUGUGAGAGAGGGAGAGAAUGGCAUGCAUUUAUACUUGUGCUACGUCCUGUUUUUUUUUUUUUUUUUUUUUUUUGGUUUCCUAAUUUCUUUUGUUUGCAGAUUGCUGCCACCUGAUUCCAAUCUGCGCAGCUAAUUGUUCUGAGCUGUAUAGACAUCAUGGCCUUGUGGCUUUAUCUGAGUUAUUGGACUUUGUUUUUUUUUUUUUUUGUUUUGUUUUUUUGUUUGGACCCCCACAUGCUGAUUUAUUAUUUUUGUUUUCCAUUAUGUUCUUUAAAGUUUAAGAUGCAUAUUUUCUUCUGAUAAAUAAACCAAUGCUCGCCUCCAUGGCGAUCGGAAAGAUGA